rnacentral:lncRNA from 1 species
AUGAAGACUGUAGCAUUUCUGCACGUUGGCAAGUUAGAUAUCCAACCAAACAGAAAUGCAUCAACAAGAUACCACAAAAUAGUUGCCCCUUAUCUAGCUUCCUUUGGCCAUCCUUUUGGAGAGGACCAAUGACAUCAUGGGAUGAGGUCUUAACUUGUAUAUGUAUGGGAUUUAAAUGAAGCUGAAGACAAAAGCCAGGACUACUGAUGAUGACCCAGAAUGCAGUGGAUGACCUUGGAAUCUUCUUAUCCAGAUAACAGUUUUUAAAAUGACCAUUUCCAUUCAAGGCACUGAAAACAACUGCCCAUGUGACUAUGGGGAAA